AUUCAUCUCCGGGGGUAGAGCACUGUUUCGGCAAGGGGGUCAUCCCGACUUACCAACCCGAUGCAAACUGCGAAUACCGGAGAAUGUUAUCACGGGAGACACACGGCGGGUGCUAACGUCCGUCGUGAAGAGGGAAACAACCCAGACCGCCAGCUAAGGUCCCAAAGUCAUGGUUAAGUGGGAAACGAUGUGGGAAGGCCCAGACAGCCAGGAUGUUGGCUUAGAAGCAGCCAUCAUUUAAAGAAAGCGUAAUAGCUCACUGGUCGAGUC
rnacentral:rRNA from 1 species